rnacentral:rRNA from 1 species
AUUGAACGCUGGCGGCAGGCCUAACACAUGCAAGUCGCGCGAGCGGCGGACGGGUGAGUAAUGUCUAGGAAACUGCCGGAUGAAGGGGGAUAACUACUGGAAACGGUAGCUAAUACCGCAUACCAUCAGAUGUGCCCAGAUGGGAUUAGCUGGUAGGUGGGGUAAGGGCUAACCUAGGCGACGAGCCCUAGCUGGUCUGAGAGGAGGACCAGCCACACUGGGACUGAGACACGGUCCAGACUCCUACGGGAGGCAGCAGUGGGGAAUAUUGCACAAUGGGCGCAAGCCUGAUGCAGCCAUGCCGCGUGUUUGAAGAAGGCCUUCGGGUUGUAAAGCACUUUCAGCGGGGAGGCGUUACCCGCAGAAGAAGCACCGGCUAACUCCGUGCCAGCAGCCGCGGUAAUUC